AGAAUGAACGCUGGCGGCGUGCUUAACACAUGCAAGUCGUACGAGAACUCUUCUGCUUGCAGAAGAUAGUAAAGUGGCGCACGGGUGAGUAACGCGUGGGUAAUCUCCCUCUGACUCGGGGAUAACAUUGCGAAAGCGAUGCUAAUACCGGAUGACAUCAUGAAAACCUCGGUUUUUAUGAUCAAAGGUGGCCUCUACAUGUAAGCUUCCGAUUAGAGAUGAGCCCGCGUACCAUUAGCUUGUUGGUGGGGUAACGGCCUACCAAGGCUGCGAUGGUUAGCUGGUCUGAGAGGAUGAUCAGCCACACUGGAACUGACACACGGUCCAGACUCCUACGGGAGGCAGCAGUGAGGAAUUUUGCGCAAUGGGGGAAACCCUGACGCAGCAACGCCGCGUGAGUGAUGAAGGCUUUCGGGUCGUAAAGCUCUGUCGAGUGGGAAGAAAAACCAGAUACCAAUAAUAUCUGGGACUGACGGUACCACUGAAGGAAGCACCGGCUAACUCCGUGCCAGCAGCCGCGGUAAUACGGGGGGUGCAAGCGUUAUUCGGAAUCAUUGGGCGUAAAGAGCGCGUAGGCGGCCCUAUAAGUCAGAUGUGAAAGCCCGGGGCUUAACCCCGGAAGUGCAUUUGAAACUAUUGGGCUUGAGUAUGGGAGAGGGAAGUGGAAUUCCUGGUGUAGAGGUGAAAUUCGUAGAUAUCAGGAGGAACACCGGUGGCGAAGGCGACUUCCUGGACCAAUACUGACGCUGAGGCGCGAAGGCGUGGGGAGCAAACAGGAUUAGAUACCCUGGUAGUCCACGCAGUAAACGUUGAACACUAGGUGUAGCGGGUAUUGACCCCUGCUGUGCCGCAGUUAACGCAUUAAGUGUUCCGCCUGGGGAGUACGACCGCAAGGUUA
rnacentral:rRNA from 1 species